AACGCGAAGAACCUUACCUGGGCUUGACAUUUAGGGAAAAGCCGUAGAGAUACGGUGUCCUUCGGGGUCCUAAACAGGUGGUGCAUGGCUGUCGUCAGCUCGUGUCGUGAGAUGUUGGGUUAAGUCCCGCAACGAGCGCAACCCUUGUCCGAUGUUACCAGCGGGUUAUGCCGGGGACUCGUCGGAGACUGCCGGGGUCAACUCGGAGGAAGGUGGGGAUGACGUCAAGUCAUCAUGCCCCUUACGUCCAGGGCUGCACACAUGCUACAAUGGCCGGUACAACGGGCUGCUAUCCCGCGAGGGGGAGCCAAUCCCAAAAGCCGGUCUCAGUUCGGAUUGCAGUCUGCAACUCGACUGCAUGAAGUCGGAGUCGCUAGUAAUCCCGGAUCAGCAACGCCGGGGUGAAUACGUUCCCGGGCCUUGUACACACCGCUAGUC
rnacentral:rRNA from 1 species